rnacentral:rRNA from 1 species
AACGAACGCUGGCGGCAGGCCUAACACAUGCAAGUCGAACGCACCGCAAGGUGAGUGGCGCACGGGUGAGUAACACGUGGGAAUGUAUCCUUUGGUUCGGAAUAACGUCUGGAAACGGACGCUAAUGCCGGAUGAGCCCUUAGGGGGAAAGAUUUAUCGCCAAAGGAGCAGCCCGCGUCUGAUUAGGUAGUUGGUGGGGUAAAGGCCUACCAAGCCGACGAUCAGUAGCUGGUCUGAGAGGAUGAUCAGCCACACUGGGACUGAGACACGGCCCAGACUCCUACGGGAGGCAGCAGUGGGGAAUAUUGGACAAUGGGCGCAAGCCUGAUCCAGCCAUGCCGCGUGAGUGAUGAAGGCCUUCGGGUUGUAAAGCUCUUUCGCACACGACGAUGAUGACGGUAGUGUGAGAAGAAGCCCCGGCUAACUUCGUGCCAGCAGCCGCCGCCGUAA